rnacentral:rRNA from 1 species
GACGAACGCUGGCGGCGUGCUUAACACAUGCAAGUCGAACGGUGAAGCGCCUUCCUUUUUGGUUGGUGUGGAUGAGUGGCGAACGGGUGAGUAACACGUGAGUAACCUGCCCCCUUCUUCUGGAUAACCGCAUGAAAGUGUGGCUAAUACGGGAUAUUCUGGGUCUGUCGCAUGAUGGGUCUGGGAAAGAUAUUGUUUCGGUGGGGGAUGGGCUCGCGGCCUAUCAGCUUGUUGGUGGGGUGAUGGCCUACCAAGGCGGUGACGGGUAGCCGGCCUGAGAGGGGGGAGGGUGACACGGGGACUGGGAAACGGCCGAGACACAUACGGGAGAGAGCAGUGGGGAAUAUUGCAGAAGGGGAGAAAGCAAAAUGCAGCGACGCCGGGUGAGGGAAGGAGGCCUUCGGGUUGUGAACCUCUUGGGCCAGAAAAGCAGGCGUGCCUCGUUUGUGGGUGGGUAGACGGUAGGGGAAAAAGAAGCGCGGGCAAACUACG